rnacentral:rRNA from 1 species
UCUAGCGGCCAUAACGCGGUGGUCCCACCUGAUCCCAUACCGAACUCAGAAGUGAAACGCCGUGGUGCCGAUGGUAGUGUGGGGUCUCCCCAUGUGAGAGUAGGGAACCGCUAGGC